rnacentral:rRNA from 1 species
UACGAAGGGGGCUAGCGUUGUUCGGAAUUACUGGGCGUAAAGCGCACGUAGGCGGGUCGUUAAGUCAGGGGUGAAAUCCCGGAGCUCAACUCCGGAACUGCCUUUGAUACUGGCGAUCUCGAGAUCGGAAGAGGUGAGUGGAAUUCCCAGUGUAGAGGUGAAAUUCGUAGAUAUUGGGAAGAACACCGGUGGCGAAGGCGGCUCACUGGUCCGAUACUGACGCUGAGGUGCGAAAGCGUGGGGAGCAAACGGG